UUUAAUCUUGGUUCUCCAGUGUCAGGAAGAGAUCCUUCAGUCAUGGGAGAACCUUUCUUGGCCGAGUUCAUAGUCAGAGGGAGAUGUGACUACAGAAGAAUGGUUGGACACGUGCAACACUGUGGGCUUUACAGAGGAAGGAAGGGGACAUGAGCCAAGGAACUCUGGCAGCCCCUAGAAGCUAAAAAAGGUAAUCAGGAAGUCUCCUAGGAUAAGGUUAUUAUAUUCAAGUCCUGCCAAAAAAUGGCAGGAAAAGAAGCUCCUAUUUGAGUGGGCCAAAAAGAACAAUUAUACCUCCUAAAAAUAAAAUGAACCUAAGCUAAGAAAAUGAAAACAUUUCUAAAGAAGAAGGUCAGUACUUCUUUUUUGGUCUCCUUUCAUCACUGUGUGAUUUACUUUAAUAGUACCCUGUCAAACUAGAUGACUCAGUGGCCUCAUCAUAGCUUACAGAGCAUUUCAUCUGUGGUCAUUCAUCCUGCCUAUGAAGAAAUUGACAUGUAGUCACUACAGAGAAACACUGCUCACCAAUGGUUGUUCACCACCAUACCCUCCUGAUCCUUGCCUAAUCAAACAGAGAGAUGCUAUCCUGCUUUUACCUACACAGAAAAAGAAAGAAGAUAAAACAAUGUUAGGGGGUUGCGGCUCAUUGAUGGUCAGAUAUGAAAAGCUGCUUCAAAUGCUGUCCCAUCAGUUCCUAAAACUGCAACAUGAAAAUGCAUCAUCAUGACUACCCUUUACCUAUCUCCC
rnacentral:lncRNA from 1 species